CCCCGCUGGCCCCCAGAAUAAAGACAGAUUUAUUCUGCAUCCUGAAGUCUUCCCGAAGCUUCGGCAGCGCCCCAGUCUCAGCCAUGCUACAGAAAUAACAUCGACAGAUCGGAAGAGCCACGCUCUGUGAACUAUAGAGUAUCACACAGAUAAUUAGGGAUUUCCAUUAUUAUCAACAUCAUUAUGGAGCAGAUUUGAGAGGUUCGAAAUAUGAUCCUUGCUUCAGUUUCCAGAAGUCUAGAGCCUUGUGUUGAUGAGGAAGGAACUCCAAAACUAUUUUUUGAGCAUUUGAUCUUUUACUAUAUUCCCCAGACACUAUGGUAGCUGCCGAGGAUACAGCAGUGAACAAGAUAUUGUAUUCGGUGUCCUCACGGAAUUUACAAUCCAGCAGGCUGAGGGCUGAGAGCCAUGUGGUGAUUAUAAUUUCC